rnacentral:rRNA from 1 species
AUACGGAGGGUGCAAGCGUUACUCGGAAUCACUGGGCGUAAAGCGCGCGCAGGCGGAUUGGCAAGUUGGAUGUGAAAGCCUGCGGCUCAACCGCAGAACUGCAUCCAAAACUGUCAGUCUAGAGUCUGGGAGAGGUAGCUGGAAUUAGUGGUGUAGGGGUAAAAUCCGUAGAGAUCACUAGGAAUACCGAAAGCGAAGGCGAGCUACUGGAACAGUACUGACGCUGAGGCGCGAAAGCGUGGGGAGCAAACAGGAUUAGAAACCCCGGUAGUCC